UUUGUUAUUUGCAUGUUUUUUGUUGUUUUUUGAAUAAUAGCUAAAAUUAAACUAACGGAACAUAAAAAUGUAAAGUAAGUACCCUAAACUAGAAGCAUAAAAAUAAACAUACACACACGCACACAUGCACCUAAAGCUAUUAGGUAAAACCUAUUAUACAUUCUAAGGUCUGCAGAAAAUAAAUGACAAGAAAAUAAAUAAUUUAUUUACAUCAAAGCCUAAUUUACAUUCUAACAUCCAUGCUCUAAAAAUAAAAUAAGUGACAUAAAUAAAUAAAUAUGCAUGAAAGAAUAGAAAAUAAAUAAAAAUAAAAUGCGAAAUAAAGAAAUAAAAAUAGGUUCAAUCACAAGGCGGGGGUUGUGGUGCCGGUAUUAUGGGGGGUGUGGGUUCUUGUUUUCUUUCUUCUACCUCUUCAACCACGUCCUCACAACUUAAUUUCCUGUUAAGAGAUGACAACUUUAAACAAAGAAAAACAAACGCAGCAAAUUAAUUACCCAGCAACUGAAAAAAUUGGCACGACAGUGUUAGAACUUCUGUGAGAAAAUGGAAACUUUAAAAAGAAGAAAGAAGCCACGGCAAUAUGAGUUCAAACAAUUGGAAACGUAGCAAUAAUGAAACAAAAGGAUCAUCAAUCAAUCAAAACAUAGCAGCAGCAACUGAGAAAUCAAUAUAAGUAUGUACGGCUGAAUUGAAAAUUGCAUGAAAACUAAGGUUUUGGAAUAUAUGUGUAGUAAUAGCAACCGGCAAAGAAAGUGAAUUAGAAUAGCACAUGACAGUAGCAAUAUGAAAUAAAGACAUGAAAUUUUAACGUAAAACACUAAAAUAAGAAACAUAUAAUAAUAUAAUUGCAAAGGGAAUUAGAAUGAAAAGCAAUAACAAAGUAAUGGACAUGGAAUUGAAUUGUUUCAGCAAAGGGAAUUAGAAUGAAAAGCAAUAACAAAGCAUGUUUCAGUUAUGAAAGUAUUAAAAUUAUGCGGUGGCUAACAUGGAUUCAAAAAUGGAAUGAGGGUGUAACUAUCUCUAAGCUACGGCAGCUUGGGUUUUGAUUUUUUUGGAAUAUUUGUGCGUGUGAAGAUUGUGUUGUGUUAGGUCAAAUCGUGUGUGUCAAUUGUGUUGUUGCAGCUUGCUUUUAUAGAAAGGGGACCAGCACUAGGGUUUGUUGAAAGUUGCUGAAAAUUUGUGACUUGGGGAGGAGAAUAAGCAUUGUUAUUGCUGGAUUGAUAAGGCUGGGAAUUGGAUUGGGAUGGAGAAAGAAAGAAAACGUGUACUGUGUUGUUUUUGGAUGAGGAUCACUUUUUUUGGAUUUUAACAAAUAAUAAUAAUGAAGAAUGCAAAAAUAAAAAAAAGAUUAUGCAGACUUUGAACUUCUUGGACUUAUCUAAACAAAAAUUAAAUAAUUAACUAAAUAGAUAAAGACUAAACAAAAUAAAAAAUAAAAAAUAAAUGAUUUAAAAAAGAAUAAAAAUAUGGAAAUUUUAACUAAAAAUAAAAAAAAAAAGAUAUAAAAUUAAAGAGAGAAGAGG
rnacentral:lncRNA from 1 species